rnacentral:ncRNA from 1 species
GUGUUGUAUGAGCCGAGAGACAGUUGGCACAUCCCCUAGAUAAGGACGGAGAUGGAUAUAUUGUCCAAAAUUUAACAACACAUGUUGAUAUAAAGGCACAAAUGUACUCUGAUAGAGAUAUUGGGGUAUGUCUUUAAAUGUUUUUUUUU